UACGAAGGGGGCGAGCGUUGUUCGGAAUUACUGGGCGUAAAGCGCGCGUAGGCGGCUACUUAAGUCGGAUGUGAAAGCCCCUGGCUCAACUGGGGAAGUGCACCCGAAACUGAGUAGCUAGAGUACGAAAGAGGGUCGCGGAAUUCCCGGUGUAGAGGUGAAAUUCGUAGAUAUCGGGAGGAACACCGGUGGCGAAGGCGGCGACCUGGGUCGAUACUGACGCUGAGGCGCGAAAGCGUGGGGAGCAAACAGG
rnacentral:rRNA from 1 species